rnacentral:rRNA from 1 species
GUGAACGGAGGGCCAGCGGGAGCGGAAGUACAGGGAGUGCAAGCGGUAUGCGGAAUGACUGGGCGGAAGUCGGACGGAGGUGUCUUGGUAAGUUGGAGGUGAAAUCCCCGGGCUUAACUAGGGAAUUGCAUUCAAUACUGCCUGGCUAGAGUGUGGAAGAGGGAGGCGGAAUUCCAGGUGUAGCGGUGAAAUGCGUAGAUAUCUGGAGGAACAUCAGUGGCGAAGGCGGCUUCCUGGUCCAACACUGACACUGAGGUGCGAAAGCGUGGGGAGCAAACAGGAUUAGAUACCCGAGUAGUC